CGGGCCCGAGUGUUGUGGUGGCGGCGGCGGCUGUCAGCGGGCGGAGGGGCGCGCCUGUGGCGGCUCGGGACCUGGAGGGCGGGGACGGAGGCUUGGGAAGGGCGAGCAGCCUCGCUCCGCCCCCGACGCGCUUCAGCCUGAUGGAGCUAGAGACGGAGACGGAGACGAUCCCCAGGAAGAGGAAGGGGGCCCCGAACUCGGCCCUGGAAACAGAGCCGGAUCUUGAGGACAAGGAGCCUAAAGCCAAGAAAGCUCGCUUAUCUUCCAUUUUAUUUGCUGAAAAUGAUGUAGUAACCCCUAAACAGCUGUGUGAGUUGCUGAAGUAUGCAGUUCUGGGUAAAUCCACUCCUGAACCCAGCUGGUGCCAACUUUUACACCAAAACCACCUAAACAACGUGGUGGUUUUUAUUCUGAAGGGAAUGAGUCAGCUACACUUCUACAGGUUCUAUUUGGAAUUCAGAUUUCUCCGAAAGACAUUCAGACACAAAUUCAGCUUGCCUCCUCCGACAUCUCGUUUUCUAUUUGAUAUCAUUGGGCUGCAAAGGAAGAAAUUAGUCAGAGGUUUUCCUAGGACUAUUAAAGGAAGAUCUUUAACUUCUGCCAUUUUAAAGCCCAGCAUCAACCUGCAGAAUGACCCCAUCAUUCAGAAGUAUGGCUGUGAAAAAGUGGGCUUGACGAGAUGUCUUCUGACAAAAAGGGAAAUGGAAACAUUUCACUUUCCACUCCAAGGUUCUCCUAAUUGUGAAAACUUUAUCCUUACCAAGUGUAAUGGUUCCAUAACAGAUAACAGUCCACUUUUUGGACUUAAUUGUGAAAUGUGCCUUACAUCCAAGGGGAGAGAACUAACACGUGUCUCACUGGUUGCUGAAGGAGGCCAUUGUAUUGUGGAUGAACUGGUCAAACCUGACUUCAAGAUUCUGGACUCCUUUACUAGUUUUUCAGGAAUCACGGAGAAGAUUCUUAACCCAGUGCCAACCAAACUCAAAGAUGUACAGACACUCUUAAGACAGCUGCUUCCUCCUGACGCUGUGUUAGUGGGCCAUUUCCUAGACUCGGAUCUCAGAGUUUUAAAAAUGAUACACCCAUAUGUUAUUGAUACCUCGCUGCUUUAUAUCGGGAAGCAGCACAGAAGAUUUAAGCUAAGAUUCUUAGCCAAAGUUAUUUUGGGGAAGGAUAUACAGUGUCCAGACAAGCUUGGUCAUGAUACCAUAGAAGAUGCUAGAACAACUCUUGAAUUAGUUCGGUAUUUUCUUAAGUAUGGGCCAAAGAAGAUUGCAGAGCUCAAUUUGGAGGCACUAGCUAGUCGUGAAGAACUGAAAGCAGCCAGUCAAGAACCAGAAAAGAAGGGAGGACCUACUAAGCCCCCAAAUAUGAGUGUUUUAGAAUGCCUGGACUCGAUGGGUCAGAAACUCCUUUUUUUGACUCGGGAUAUAGAUGAACUUUCUUCUUCUAGAAACUGUCUAACUAUUAAGUGUUCUUCAAAUAAAGAGGUGCUUGAGGAAGCCAAAGUGGAAGUCCCUUUGUUUCCCUUCAGCAUUGUGCAGUUCUCUUUUGAGCCCUUUUCACCCAUCUUUGCUGACGAGGUGAAGCAAAGUAUGAAGGCCAAAUGGACAGAGAUGUCAACUGUCUAUGCUGGUCCAUUUGUCAAAAAUUGUAACAUUGGGCCUCUGAAGAAGAUGUUUAAGAGCAUGGGCCCAGUCCAGUCAGUAACUCUUGUUCUCGAAACUUUUAGGCCUUACUUCUGUGUACAGUAUGAAGUCUUGGAAGCUGCUCAGCUGGCUAUAGAGACCAUGAAUGGCAUUCUGGUAGAAGGUUCUUACAUCAAGGUGCACAGGCCUGUGACAGAAUUCACUCUUGAGUGUGACACCCUUGUGCGUGAGCUAGAGCAAGAUUGUGAAAACCAAGGUACUAUAUAUGUGACUGGAUUUGGCAAAGCUUUUAAAGAACACCUGUUGGAGCAGUCCAGCCUCUUUCCUGGCCUGGAAGCCAUGAUACUGCCUAAAGAUGUUAAAAGCAGACAGCAAAAAAACUACUGUUUCUUGAAGUUCAAAUCCCGUGACAGUGCCCAGGUAGCCCUUGAAAUUCUCAAAGGCAAGGACUGGAAGUUGAAAGGCAGACAUGCCCUAACCCCCAUGCACCUUCAGACAUGGCUCAAGGACAUACAUCCUGAACCAGCAAUGCCUUCAGGACUUCAACUAGUACCACCUCUCUUGGAGAAGCAUGUCUUCCAGAUUGCGGAGGAGAACCACCCAAGGAUAGUUGCCUGGCGUUGCAACCGGAAGAUUGAAAAGCUCUAUCACUGCCUGAGCCCGGGCACCCUCUGCCUCAUCCUGAUGCCAGGAACCAACAAGUUCUCUCUACGUAGCCCUGGCUGCUGGGAUUAAAGGCAUAUGACACCACACAUGGCUAGAUUUCUGUCUCUUCAAGCUGUCCCACAGCUUCUUUUAUAUAUUUUUCAUGUAGUUUUGUUAAGUUUUCAAAUUAUUUGCUAAUGUGGUCCAAUCCUUUUUAUUUUUAUGUGUAUAUACAUGAAUAUACACAUGUGUAUAUAUAUGCCACAGAGCUUGAGUGCAUUAGAAGCCAGAGGAAGGCAGCAGAUCCCCUGGAUCUGUGGUUAUAAGCAGUUGUAAGCUACCUGAUGUGAGUACUGGGAACCGAGACUGAACAUGGGUCCUCUGCAAGGAGUGCUCAUAACUGCCGGAGCUCUCUUCAUCCCUAAUUCCUCUACUUUAUCUUCAAGUCCUAAUAAUCUGUCUUCUUGAUCCAUUCUACUGCACUUUUGAAUUACACCCUGGCCUAGGACUGAUGAAAAUAAAAGAGGAAGAGGAAAGUGACCCCCCGGGCCUGGGAGUGUGAAUCUCCCCACACUUUCCAAGUAUC